AGGGAGGGGGCGGGGAGGGAGGGGAGGGAGAGAGGAGGAAGGGGUGAGAGGGAGAAACCUGCCGCGGCUCUCCGCCUCUUUGUCUGCUCUGGGACUUGGAACAAAAGGGGAAACUCUGAUGAACUCCUUCUCCAGCUCCCUGGACGCCCGAGUAUCUCUUUCUCGCAACUUUGUCAACGCGACUUUCUCCGCUGUCAGGCUGCGCAAAAGUAUCCUAGCGCCUCGCAGGCUGCAACAAUGGAAACAAUGUCCCUUCAAAGUGCGACGAAGUGGAGGGAGAAGGUGUCAUACCAGCGACUCCAAGAGUCAUGUCACCCACUUAGCAGGAGUACUUCUACUGAAAUGCCUUCGAAUUUCUCUUACUGGAUAUAUACCUACCAGCCGCUAGCAUGAAGAUGCCAGGACCGCUGCAAGUUAGCACUGGACAAAGUAGCAUCAACUUCUUCAUUUAGAGUUUCUUCAGUUAAAUUGCUGGGAUUUUCGACAAGGCUUUCCUUAUGUGGAUUAUUGGAGUGUGAUGCCCGAGAAUUCUCUACUUGUAGAAGCACGCCCACGGGACUGCAGAAGCCUUCACACCCACCCAGCACGCUCAGAAAGUACUGUCUUCAACCUUACCAAUGUCAGUGGCGGCGACGGUGGCGUCACCAUCACCAUCAGAGAAAAAGAAAUAUGCCUUUAUGUCAUGGGUUGAUGGCCUAACACUGGCUUAACACUCAUGUCGGCUGCACUAAUUGAAGUCACAUCCAAGUGGGUCAAUGCACUGAACAUAUCUGAUAUAGAAGGUCCCAGAUCCUGAAUUUUUAUCAAUGGUUUGCUGUAUAAGGCUUGCCUCCCAAAUAGCUGAGGACCCUUAUUUGGGAAGAUACGUUCUGAUGGUUAAGCAACAGCACAGAUGUCGAUGGGAAUGAGUGAUGGCCAUCCAGUGACCAGCUGGAUCUGACUGCCUUACAAGACGCAUGUGUAUGAUUAAGAGAGAGACAUUCGUGACUCCCAGAUGUACCUCCUUCCUGUCCCACAGUGUUCCUGAAGGGAGUGAGUUAUGGGGUAACUUAUAACACAGCAGGCUCUUCCUCAAGAUAGCUCUUGUCAAAACAGGAAGACGAAACUCGGGUUUCCAUGAGGAGACCACAGCUUGGGAUCCUGUCUGGAUGUACAAGCAGAAGCAUCUUCAUACUUUUCCAUUUCUAACCAUCAUGCCUCACCCCACCCUCCCAAGGCGACAUCUGCAGAGAGGUGGAACCAUCUAGGGAGGCCUGCCACUGUUUGCUGAGCUCCGGGUGAGGAUGAAGACACUUUGACAUGGCCAGCUUCAGACUCGGGAUCUGUCGGUGUUAGCAGCCGAAGGAGAAUGAGGAGGAAGAGGAGGAGAAAGAGGAGGAGGAAGUAAGACAGAGGGGGACAAGAGGACCAAGAGGGCACAUGGCUGAGGAGGAGGAGAACAACAACAACAACAACAACAACAACAACAACAAGAAGCUUGGUGGUGAAACUUGGAAGCCCUCUCCAGGAUGCAGCAGGUAGCUGAGGAGAAAACGAAGACUGACCAGCCCAGAGCUCAGAGCUUCCUCCCAUGCUCAGGAUUUACCACCAAUGCCAUUACAUCGGCCUCUUCUUGUAUGCCUCUGGAAACCACAUGUGUCCUCUGUUUGUAAUGGUUUGGCUAUGGUUGCUGGCCCCUCUUGGACAUUGUUUUCAGAACUUAAAGAAACAUUGCUUUAAAGAUUUAUUAGAACAUAUUUAAAAUAAAACCAUCUUCUCAUUUA
rnacentral:lncRNA from 1 species